rnacentral:sRNA from 1 species
UCCACAGACACAGGAUCCUGAUACUGC